rnacentral:rRNA from 1 species
GGCCUACGGGCGGCAGCAGUGAGGAAUAUUGGUCAAUGGGCGAGAGCCUGAACCAGCCAUCCCGCGUGCAGGAUGACGGCCCUAUGGGUUGUAAACUGCUUUUCUGCUCCAAGAAACCUGAUUACGAGUAAUCAGUUGACGGUAGAGUAGGAAUAAGCAUCGGCUAACUCCGUGCCAGCAGCCGCGGUAAUACGGAGGAUGCAAGCGUUAUCCGGAUUCAUUGGGUUUAAAGGGUGCGCAGGUUGGAAUGUAAGUCAGUGGUGAAAUACUGCCGCUUAACGGUAGAACUGCCAUUGAUACUGCGUUUCUUGAGUAUGGUUGAGGUAGGUGGAAUGUGUUGUGUAGCGGUGAAAUGCAUAGAUAUGACACAGAACGCCGAUUGCGAAGGCAGCUUACUAAGCCAUUACUGACGCUGAGGCACGAAAGCGUGGGGAUCGAACAGGAUUAGAUACCCCAGUAGUCG